UACGAAGGGGGCUAGCGUUGCUCGGAAUCACUGGGCGUAAAGCGCACGUAGGCGGCUUCUUAAGUCAGGGGUGAAAUCCUGGAGCUCAACUCCAGAACUGCCUUUGAUACUGGGAGGCUCGAGUCCGGGAGAGGUGAGUGGAACUGCGAGUGUAGAGGUGAAAUUCGUAGAUAUUCGCAAGAACACCAGUGGCGAAGGCGGCUCACUGGCCCGGUACUGACGCUGAGGUGCGAAAGCGUGGGGAGCAAACAGG
rnacentral:rRNA from 1 species